GCUCUUUCAGGUGGAAAGAAAACGCAUAGGUUAAUACCUUGUGCGGAUGACGGUACCAUCAGAAGAAGCACCGGCUAACUACGUGCCAGCAGCCGCGGUAAUACGUAGGGUGCGAGCGUUAAUCGGAAUUACUGGGCGUAAAGCGUGCGCAGGCGGUUAUGUAAGACAGAUGUGAAAUCCCCGGGCUCAACCUGGGAACUGCGUUUGUGACUGCAUAACUAGAGUACGGCAGAGGGAGGUGGAAUUCCGCGUGUAGCAGUGAAAUGCGUAGAUAUGCGGAGGAACACCGAUGGCGAAGGCAGCCUCCUGGGGCCAGUAACUGACGCUCAUGCACGAAAGCGUGGGGAGCAAACAGGAUUAGAUACCCUGGUAGUCCACGCCCUAAACGAUGUCAACUAGUUGUUCGGUGAGGAGACUCAUUGAGUAACGCAGCUAACGCGUGAAGUUGACCGCUGGGGAGUACGGCCGCAAGGUUAAACUCAAAGGAACUU
rnacentral:rRNA from 1 species